UUAGAGUUUGAUCCUGGCUCAGGACGAACGCUGGCGGCGUGCCUAAUACAUGCAAGUCGAACGCGUCCCGGUUGAUGAAGUUGAGUGCUUGCACUUAAUUGAUUCAACUUGGUGACGAGUGGCGAACUGGUGAGUAACACGUGGGUAACCUGCCCCGAAGCGGGGGAUAACAUUUGGAAACAGGUGCUAAUACCGCAUAACAACCAAAACCACCUGGUUUUGGUUUGAAAGACGGCUUCGGCUGUCACUUUGGGAUGGACCCGCGGCGUAUUAGCUAGUUGGUGAGGUAACGGCUCACCAAGGCGAUGAUACGUAGCCGACCUGAGAGGGUAAUCGGCCACAUUGGGACUGAGACACGGCCCAAACUCCUACGGGAGGCAGCAGUAGGGAAUCUUCCACAAUGGACGCAAGUCUGAUGGAGCAACGCCGCGUGAGUGAUGAAGGGUUUCGGCUCGUAAAACUCUGUUGUUGGAGAAGAACGGGUGUUAGAGUAACUGUUGACAUCGUGACGGUAUCCAACCAGAAAGCCACGGCUAACUACGUGCCAGCAGCCGCGGUAAUACGUAGGUGGCAAGCGUUGUCCGGAUUUAUUGGGCGUAAAGCGAGCGCAGGCGGUUUUUUAGGUCUGAUGUGAAAGCCUUCGGCUUAACCGGAGAAGUGCAUCGGAAACCGGGAGACUUGAGUGCAGAAGAGGACAGUGGAACUCCAUGUGUAGCGGUGAAAUGCGUAGAUAUAUGGAAGAACACCAGUGGCGAAGGCGGCUGUCUGGUCUGCAACUGACGCUGAGGCUCGAAAGCAUGGGUAGCGAACAGGAUUAGAUACCCUGGUAGUCCAUGCCGUAAACGAUGAGUGCUAAGUGUUGGAAGGGUUUCCGCCCUUCAGUGCUGCAGCUAACGCAUUAAGCACUCCGCCUGGGGAGUACGACCGCAAGGUUGAGACUCAAAGGAAUUGACGGGGGCCCGCACAAGCGGUGGAGCAUGUGGUUUAAUUCGAUGCUACGCGAAGAACCUUACCAGGUCUUGACAUCUUCUGCUA
rnacentral:rRNA from 1 species